UACGAAGGGGGCUAGCGUUGCUCGGAAUUACUGGGCGUAAAGCGCACGUAGGCGGCUUUCUAAGUCGGGGGUGAAAUCCUGGAGCUCAACUCCAGAACUGCCUUCGAUACUGGAGAGCUCGAGUCCGGGAGAGGUGAGUGGAACUGCGAGUGUAGAGGUGAAAUUCGUAGAUAUUCGCAAGAACACCAGUGGCGAAGGCGGCUCACUGGCCCGGUACUGACGCUGAGGCACGAAAGCGUGGGGAGCAAACAGG
rnacentral:rRNA from 1 species